rnacentral:tRNA from 1 species
UGCAUCGGCCGAGAAUCGAACUCGGCCCGCCCGCGUGGCAGGCGAGCAUUCUACCACUGAACCACCGAUGG